rnacentral:tRNA from 1 species
UCCCUGGAGGACUAGUGGUUAGGCCAUAGCAAUCUCACUGCCAUGGCCCAGGUUCAAUUCCUGGCCAGUGGA